rnacentral:rRNA from 1 species
UACGUAGGCUCCAAGCGUUGUUCGGAAUUACUGGGCGUAAAGCGAGUGUAGGCGGCUUGCCAAGUCGAUUGUGAAAUCUCCCGGCUCAACCGGGAGGGUGCGGUCGAAACUGACAAGCUGGAGUUCGGGAGAGGAGAGUGGAAUUCCUGGUGUAGCGGUGAAAUGCGUAGAUAUCAGGAGGAACACCGGUGGUGAAGACGGCUCUCUGGACCGAUACUGACGC